rnacentral:rRNA from 1 species
CCUACGGGGGGCUGCAGUGGGGAAUAUUGGGCAAUGGGGGCAACCCUGACCCAGCGACGCCGCGUGAAGGACGAAGGCAUUCGUGUUGUAAACUUCUUUGGAGAGGGACGAAAAUGACGGUACCUCUCGAACAAGCCACGGCUAACUACGUGCCAGCAGCCGCGGUAAUACGUAGGUGGCAAGCGUUAUCCGGAAUUACUGGGUGUAAAGGGCGCGCAGGCGGCCCUGCAAGUCGGAUGUGAAAGAUCAAGGCUCAACCUUGACAGGCCAUUCGAAACUGUGGGGCUUGAGUGUCAGAGGGGAAAGUGGAAUUCCUAGUGGAGCGGUAAAAUGCGCAGAUAUUAGGAGGAACACCGGUGGCGAAGGCGACUUUCUGGCUGACAACUGACGCUGAGGCGCGAAAGCGUGGGGAGCAAACAGGAUUAGAUACCCCGGUAGUC